ACCCAGAUAGAUCAGUCGGCAGAGCACGAGACUUAAUCUCAGGGCGGUGGGUUCCAGCCUCACACUGGGCA